rnacentral:tRNA from 1 species
GACUGUGUGGUGUAACGGUAGCACACUCGGCGCGUAUUCGAGAGGCCCAGGUUCGAGUCCCGGCGAGGGCA